AAAAAGACAAACCCUGGGUUUCCGUGCCAAAAGUUUGAUUGUCCGUCUUAUAUGAAUUUUUUUUAUAAUUAGUAUUUUCAUUGUUGUUAGAUGAUAAAAACAUGAUUAAUAUUUUAUGCAUGACUUAUCUUUUUAAUUUUUUUCAUAAUUUUUUCAAAUAAAACGGACGGUCAAAUGUUGGACACAAAAACCCAGGGUUUGUCUUUUU
rfam:Oryza rufipogon genomic scaffold, chr07